rnacentral:rRNA from 1 species
AACGAACGCUGGCGGCAUGCCUUACACAUGCAAGUCGAACGGCAGCACGGGAGCAAUCCUGGUGGCGAGUGGCGAACGGGUGAGUAAUGUAUCGGAACGUGCCCAGUCGUGGGGGAUAACGUAGCGAAAGCUACGCUAAUACCGCAUACGAUCUAUGGAUGAAAGCGGGGGAUCGCAAGACCUCGCGCGAUUGGAGCGGCCGAUAUCAGAUUAGGUAGUUGGUGGGGUAAAGGCUCACCAAGCCGACGAUCUGUAGCUGGUCUGAGAGGACGACCAGCCACACUGGGACUGAGACACGGCCCAGACUCCUACGGGAGGCAGCAGUGGGGAAUUUUGGACAAUGGGCGCAAGCCUGAUCCAGCAAUGCCGCGUGCAGGAUGAAGGCCUUCGGGUUGUAAACUGCUUUUGUACGGAGCGAAAAGGCUCUCUCUAAUACAGGGGGCUCAUGACGGUACCGUAAGAAUAAGCACCGGCUAACUACGUGCCAGCCGCCGCGGUAAUAC